AGCUCCAAUAGCGUAUAUUAAAGUUGUUGCAGUUAAAAAGCUCGUAGUUGAAUUUUGGGCCUGACUGCAUGGUCCGCCUAACAGCGAGUACUGUGUGGUUUGGCCUUCCUUCUGGCUAUCUAGUCUGCUCUUUACUGGGUGGGUUAGAGAACCAGGACUUUUACUUUGAAAAAAUUAGAGUGUUCAAAGCAGGCUUACGCUUGAAUACAUUAGCAUGGAAUAAUAGAAUAGGAUUUUGGUUCUAUUUUGUUGGUUUCUAGGACCGAAGUAAUGAUUAAUAGGGACAGUUGGGGGCAUUAGUAUUUCAGUGUCAGAGGUGAAAUUCUUGGAUUUCUGAAAGACUAACUACUGCGAAAGCAUUUGCCAAGGAUGUUUUCA
rnacentral:rRNA from 1 species